rnacentral:lncRNA from 1 species
UUUCAUUUUUCAUCUUCCUCAUCCCCAUUCCAAAACCUAGCCGCCCUAGUUUCCCCCAAAUCUUGUGACCGGCGGCCACCCCCCAAUCGCCCCCAAACUCACACCCUAUACUCCUCACCUAGCCCUCAGCAUUAGUCUGCCAUUAGUUUUCCAAAACAAAGCUCCACCAAACUCGCCGAUUUCCAUAUCUAGUAAUCACAUAAAACUAAGUUCACCCUUAUUCUGUUGUUUGUUUCAAUUUUGGUCAUUUGAGUUCGAAAUCGACAUCAAUCGAUUGCUCUUGAUAAGAGCAAUCGAUUGAUGGCAGUUUUUAACUCAUCACUUGGCCACCGGAGUCCGGUCAGAAUUCGUCCCCGCCAUUGUUAGCCAUUCUUGCUUAAAUCGCUGCUUCUUAAGGGUAAAACAGUAUAUCUUCUCGUUUUUCCCUAUUCGUUUGUUGUUUUUGUUUUCUUUUUGAUUGUUAAUUAAGUUUUAAUUUUUGAUUGCAUGAUCAAUUAGAAUAGUUAAUAGGUUGAUUUAGUUUAAUUAAGAGUCAGCAUUUAGUGAAAUCUUUGAUUAUAAUUAGAAUUCAAAACAUGGCAGUUGUUGUGUUGAUUUUCUUUUGGGAUUUUUCCUAUUGAAGCCGGAUUUGGUCUGUCUUGGUCCAUUUGGCCAUGUCAUUUGGCCCAGACCUAAGUAGAUAUUCUACUUCUAGAAGGUAACAGCUGGCAAUUUCAGUUACAAAAUAUUCCCUUCCCCUCUGACAUUCCUUAAUUUCACGCUGAAUAUUCCCUCCCCUCUCUCAUUUCCCCUGAUUUCACGCUGAAUAUUCCCUCCCCUCACAGACCCUCUCUCAUGUGUUAACACCUAGCAUAUAUACACUCCUCUGGACAGAAUUAUAGGGGGGCAUUCAUUCACUCUGCAUUCUUAGAGAACAAGUCACUCAUACUUCCUUUCUCAAUUCCACACGCAAAAGAGAAAGAAAAAAGGCUGAAAACUAUAAAAAAAAAAAAAAAUGAAGGCAGGAGACUGUUUUUAAAUUGUUGACUAUCUGGUGUUGAGUGAGAAGUUUAAUCUUCAGCUACUCUUCUGGUUUUUGAGCUGUUAUUCACCUGUUCGAAGUCUGCUGAUAUCCCUGCUGAUUCUGAGGCUUAUUUUCUGUUUUUCUGUCGAUUUUUGGCACUUAGGUACACCUCUAUAAUUCUGUACAACUCUGAUCUUUAGCAUAAUCAAAUUUUUGUUUUAAUAUGGAGUUGUGGCUGUUUGUUGCUCUUACAUGAUUUUAUGUCUGUUUUCAAGUUCAUUGGACAAUACUUGAACUCCUCUCUUUGACGUAGCUUCUGUUUAGGAUAGAAUGUUGUUAACCUUAAUUGGAGUAAGAUUGUUAGUUAAGUUUGAGUCCCUGCAACAUAAGCAUGUCUUACUGCAUUGAUAAGUUUACUACUUUGUUUAAAAUUACCUGCUAAAAGUGAAACUUGUGUGUGGAGUUCAUUUGUUAGUUGUGUAAUGGUUAGAAGCAUCACAUGGCAGCCAAAAGAGUAUUCUGGAAGGUCGGAUUAUAGGUGAUUCAUUUGUUAAAGCUCCAAAUGCUUGGAAUUGAAAUUGUCUGAUCCAAAGACAUGAGAGGAUAGCAGAUUAAUUUUUAUAACACAUAAGUCCAGGAUCUGUAAAGGAUGGUUCACAGUCAGUUGAUUAUUGUAAAUUUGAAGUUAUAAGUCUUAGUGCAAUGGUUUAAUGCUGUAGUUUUAUUUGUGAAAAAUUUGAACAAAC